UAGUUCUCGUCUGUCCUUGGCUUCUUGCUCUGAAGAAAUAUGUGAAUAAUGUAGAUCUAAAAAAUAAGUUCAUAACUUCACUCCUUUCAGCAUGAACUACAAUGGUAGUGCUGUUUAAAGAAUCUCUCAAUCUUUUCCAUAGUUUGAGAUUAAGAUAUUUGAUAGAAUCUUAUGUGAGGAUUAAUGAAAAAAUAUAGUUAGCUGUUCAUCCUCUUUGUUUUUUAUCACUCAUCAUCUUGCAAUGGAAACCCAACAAAAGUGUUCAAAGCUAGAGAUUAUACAAGUGCAAAAAUUGCCUGGGACCUACAGAAUGACCAGGUUGUAAUCAUCUCUCAAGAUCUGUAGAUUUGUUCCAAAAAAAAGGAAUUUUUCCCCCCAAAGCCAAUUUUCAUUAAUAAUUCCAUCAGGAGGACCUGCUAUCCUGCAGAACAAGGAAAGUAUGGGUAAAAAAGCAUUGUAUAAAUGCAUACCAUUCAAAUUAACUUUUAUUAACUUUUUUUUAAUGCAUACCAUUCGGAUUAACUUUUUCAUAACAUAUUUUAAUAGCUGAAGAACAGAAAGGUCCUAAUGAAGUAAAAAAGAAAAAUAGUAAAAAUUUGGCUGUGUUUUUCUCCUAGAACUUCUGGUAUGUGUGUUUUAUCUUCCAGUGCAUUGUGGUGCAAACUGUGAUGGCAGAAUGCCUGUGGUUCUGCUUAGUGCAGGGAAUGAGAUUAAGAAAGAUUCAACAGAAAAUAGAAGGUUCUCAAGACCAGUACCCACAGAGUCACAGGACCUGCUGAUAUCUCAGUGACAUCGAUGUCCUGCAUGGACAAAGGACAGAUCAGCUGGUAAGCAAACUGACAGAUUUGUUCAUGGCACAGCUAUAAUGUCAUUUGAAGUUCAGAAAAUCUAUUUGUGAUUCAAAGCUUUGAGGUCAUCUACAACUUAUACUGCCUCCAAAUUUUACUGUCUGUCUCUACUGUUCUGGUCCUUUGAAAUGCUGCAAGAAUUAAUCAAAAUUCAAUUGUUUGUUUUUAAUCAGAUUUCAUGGAGAAAGUACAUUGUAGGUGGAGAGAUUGUGAAUUGCAUUGCAAAAUGGAAAUAUAAGGUGUAAUUUGAUCACUAUAAAUGAGAAAACAGUAAAAAUUAAAAGUGAAUAAACCUUUACCAUGAAAAUCAAGAAUUAAUUGAAAGGUCAGUGGAAUAACUAUGGUACUGAACCAUGUAAAUAAUAAUCUAACACUCCUUUAUUGCAAAUUAAAAUUACAGUUGCUAGCUGAUAUAGAGUUGAUAAAAAACUGCUUUUACUCCUGAAAUUAAUGGAAAAGCAUCUACUGAUUUUAAUGAGAUCAGAAAAUUCAUUCAUGAAUUGGUCAUAUCUACAAAGCUAUUUGGAAAAUCACAAAUUCACUCAAAGAUGAGACAUAAAGCACAGACUUACUUCCAAAUAAAGUCUAAAAUAAACUAUUUGCUGCAUUGAUACAUAAAGAUCUGAAAUUCAUAAUUAAAUUAUUUUGGUAGUAAUAUCAGG